AGCGGCGGACGGGUGAGUAACACGUGGGUAACCUGCCCAAGAGACUGGGAUAACACCUGGAAACAGAUGCUAAUACCGGAUAACAACACUAGACGCAUGUCUAGAGUUUGAAAGAUGGUUCUGCUAUCACUCUUGGAUGGACCUGCGGUGCAUUAGCUAGUUGGUAAGGUAACGGCUUACCAAGGCAAUGAUGCAUAGCCGAGUUGAGAGACUGAUCGGCCACAUUGGGACUGAGACACGGCCCAAACUCCUACGGGAGGCAGCAGUAGGGAAUCUUCCACAAUGGACGAAAGUCUGAUGGAGCAACGCCGCGUGAGUGAAGAAGGGUUUCGGCUCGUAAAGCUCUGUUGGUAGUGAAGAAAGAUAGAGGUAGUAACUGGCCUUUAUUUGACGGUAAUUACUUAGAAAGUCACGGCUAACUACGUGCCAGCAGCCGCGGUAAUACGUAGGUGGCAAGCGUUGUCCGGAUUUAUUGGGCGUAAAGCGAGUGCAGGCGGUUCAAUAAGUCUGAUGUGAAAGCCUUCGGCUCAACCGGAGAAUUGCAUCAGAAACUGUUGAACUUGAGUGCAGAAGAGGAGAGUGGAACUCCAUGUGUAGCGGUGGAAUGCGUAGAUAUAUGGAAGAACACCAGUGGCGAGGCGGCUCUCUGGUCUGCAACUGACGCUGAGGCUCGAAAGCAUGGGUAGCGAACAGGAUUAGAUACCCUGGUAGUCCAUGCCGUAAACAAUGAGUGCUAAGUGU
rnacentral:rRNA from 1 species